rnacentral:lncRNA from 1 species
GCCAAGUGAAUUGUAGUCUAAAGCUUUUCCUUGAAUUCAAGGCUGUGUUUACUGCAGUCAGGGCGAGGGGAAGGAGGCAACCCCAAAGCCCUCCCUCCUCCUCUUCCCCCACCCUGCAAGCCCCAGGCUUGAAACUUGAUUUAAAAAAAAAAAUACAAGAUUGAAUUUCAGUUUGCAGGAUUAGGGAGAUGACUUUUAGGGGCUGCUUGUUGGAAAAAAAGGAAAGCAAAGCAGCUGGGAGGGAUUAGGCUGAGCUGGCGUCUGCACUUUCAACUGAUUCAAUUUUGCUCCACAAGACAUUGUAUCUGAGCCUUUCUGGAGACUAUUCAAAGCAAAUCAUUUUCAUUUUACCAUUUGGUGGUGCUGUGGGGAUCCCAAGGGAUGGGGAGUGAUGGGGACAUGGAGUUGCUUGUGGUAACCUGACCCUACCACCCAGAGCACUUUGGCCAUGCUGCAAGAGAGGCAGCCCCAUUCUGAAGGGAAAAGUUCUGCUGGCAGGUGUCCACAUCUCCAUUCAGGUCCCAGGGCAGAUCUGGGGACACGCUGAGGCGCCACAGUGUCCCCAGAGAGGAGGGUGGCCAUCCCAGCUGCAGUUCCUCUGCCUGGGGCUCAGGUCUGUCACCAGCUGUCCUGGCCCUGCUGCAUUUCCCAGCAAUGCUGGAGACUU